rnacentral:lncRNA from 1 species
CACUGUGUAUUGUACUGAAUAUUUGCUUUAUUUUCUUUGGAAUCUGUGCAGGGUACACUAGAUAGACAAUUGCUAUCCAAAAUAAGCAAGUCUUUGGAGUGGGGAGUCUUCCAAGAUACCUUACCCCAUCGCCGUUGUCUGUGAUUUGAACUCCACCAUAUCUCCUCUGUCCUUUUUGCUGUGUUUUCGGAGAUUUAUUAUCCUGACCACUUUGGAUGAAGUUGAUUUGAAUUUGGUGGUUAAUGUGGAAACACAGACAACUUGGUAAAUGCUUGUCAUGAU